ACUCCUACGGGAGGCAGCAGUAGGGAAUCUUCCACAAUGGGCGAAAGCCUGAUGGAGCAACGCCGCGUGGGUGAAGAAGGUCUUCGGAUCGUAAAACCCUGUUGUUAGAGAAGAAAGUGCGUGAGAGUAACUGUUCACGUUUCGACGGUAUCUAACCAGAAAGCCACGGCUAACUACGUGCCAGCAGCCGCGGUAAUACGUAGGUGGCAAGCGUUAUCCGGAUUUAUUGGGGCGUAAAGGGAACGCAGGCGGUCUUUUAAGUCUGAUGUGAAAGCCUUCGGCUUAACCGGAGUAGUGCAUUGGAAACUGGGAGACUUGAGUGCAGAAGAGGAGAGUGGAACUCCAUGUGUAGCGGUGAAAUGCGUAGAUAUAUGGAAGAACACCAGUGGCGAAGGCGGCUCUCUGGUCUGUAACUGACGCUGAGGUUCGAAAGCGUGGGUAGCAAACAGGAUUAGAUACCCUGGUAGGAUAGCG
rnacentral:rRNA from 1 species